rnacentral:rRNA from 1 species
GAUGAACGCUGACAGAAUGCUUAACACAUGCAAGUCUUUGGCGAAGCUGUGCUUGCACAGCCUAGCCAAGGCGGACGGGUGAGUAACGCGUAAGGAACUUGCCCUGCAGUCAGGGAUAACAGACGGAAACGACUGAUAAGACCUGGUAAAGUCAGGCGGACUCAUGUCCAGCCUGAUGAAAAGAGAUGCUGCAGGAGAGCCUUGCGUCCUAUUAGCGUGUUGGUGGGGUAACGGCCCACCAAGGCGGUGAUAGGUAGCCGGCCUGAGAGGGUGGACGGCCACAAGGGGACUGAGAUACGGCCCUUACUCCUACGGGAGGCAGCAGUGGGGAAUAUUGGACAAUGGGGGCAACCCUGAUCCAGCAAUUCUGUGUGCACGAUGAAGGUUUUCGGACUGUAAAGUGCUCUCAGCAGGGAAGAAAAAAAUGACGGUACCUGCAGAAGAAGCGACGGCUAAAUACGUG